rnacentral:rRNA from 1 species
GAGGUUAAGCGACUAAGCGUACACGGUGGAUGCCCUGGCAGUCAGAGGCGAUGAAGGACGUGCUAAUCUGCGAUAAGCGCCGGUAAGGUGAUAUGAACCGUUAUAACCGGCGAUUUCCGAAUGGGGAAACCCAGUGUGACUCGUCACACUAUCAUUAACUGAAUCCAUAGGUUAAUGAGGCGAACCGGGGGAACUGAAACAUCUAAGUACCCCGAGGAAAAGAAAUCAACCGAGAUUCCCCCAGUAGCGGCGAGCGAACGGGGAGGAGCCCAGAGCCUGAAUCAGCAUGUGUGUUAGUGGAAGCGUCUGGAAAGGCGCGCGAUACAGGGUGACAGCCCCGUACACAAAAGCGCAUGUGCUGUGAGCUCGAUGAGUAGGGCGGGACACGUGGUAUCCUGUCUGAAUAUGGGGGGACCAUCCUCCAAGGCUAAAUACUCCUGACUGACCGAUAGUGAACCAGUACCGUGAGGGAAAGGCGAAAAGAACCCCGGCGAGGGGAGUGAAAAAGAACCUGAAACCGUGUACGUACAAGCAGUGGGAGCACCCUUUGGGGUGUGACUGCGUACCUUUUGUAUAAUGGGUCAGCGACUUAUAUUCUGUAGCAAGGUUAACCGAAUAGGGGAGCCGGAGGGAAACCGAGUCUUAAUUGGGCGUUAAGUUGCAGGGUAUAGACCCGAAACCCGGUGAUCUAGCCAUGGGCAGGUUGAAGGUUGGGUAACACUAAC